CCUACGGGUGGCAGCAGUGGGGAAUAUUGGGCAAUGGGCGCAAGCCUGACCCAGCAACGCCGCGUGAAGGAAGAAGGCUUUCGGGUUGUAAACUUCUUUUCUCAGAGACGAUGCACGUGACGGUACCUGAGUAAUAAGCCACGGCUAACUACGUGCCAGCAGCCGCGGUAAUACGUAGGUGGCCAGCGUUAUCCGGAUUUACUGGGUGUAAUGGGCGUGUAGGCGGGAAAGCAAGUCAGAUGUGAAAACCAUGGGAUCAACCUGUGACCUGCAAUUGAAACUGUUAUUCUUGAGUACUGGAGAGGCAGACGGAAUUGCUAGUGUAGCGGUGAAAUGCGUAGAGAUUAGGAGGAACACCAGUGGCGAAGGCGGUCUGCUGGACAGCAACUGACGCUGAGGCGCGAAAGCGUGGGGAGCAAACAGGAUUAGAGACCCGAGUAGUC
rnacentral:rRNA from 1 species